UACGUAGGGAGCGAGCGUUGUUCGGAGUUACUGGGCGUAAAGAGUGCGUAGGCGGUUUUCUAAGUUUGGUGUGAAAUCUCCCGGCUCAACUGGGAGGGUGCGCCGAAGACUGGAAGGCUAGAGUGUGGGAGAGGUAAGCGGAAUUCCUGGUGUAGCGGUGAAAUGCGUAGAUAUCAGGAGGAACACCUGCGGUGUAGACGGCUUACUGGACCAUAACUGACGCUGAGGCACGAAAGCGUGGGGAGCAAACAGG
rnacentral:rRNA from 1 species